GCCAAGUUAGUAAGGGCGCACGGUGGAUGCCUUGGCACCAGGAGCCGAUGAAGGACGUGGGAGGCUGCGAUAUGCCUCGGGGAGCUGUCAACCGAGCUGUGAUCCGAGGAUUUCCGAAUGGGGAAACCCGGCAGGGCUUUAAAUCCUGUCACCCAUGCCUGAACACAUAGGGCAUGUGGAGGGAACGCGGGGAAGUGAAACAUCUCAUUACCCGCAGGAAGAGAAAACAACCGUGAUUCCGCGAGUAGUGGUGAGCGAAAGCGGAUGAGGCUAAACCAGUGUCGUGUGAUAGCCGGCAGGCGUUGCGAUGCUGGGGUUGUGGGAUCGUCCGGACGGGACUGCCGUUCCGUCAGGGAGUCAGAAAGAGCGCUGUUAGGCGAAGGUCAUGCGAAUGGACCGCCAUAGAGGGUAAUAGCCCUGUAGCUGAAAACAGUGUUCCUCCCGGACGUGUUCCCAAGUAGCACGGAGCCCGUGAAAUUCCGUGUGAAUCUGGCGGGACCACCCGCUAAGCCUAAAUACUCCCUGGUGACCGAUAGCGGACUAGUACCGUGAGGGAAAGGUGAAAAGUACCCCGGGAGGGGAGUGAAAUAGUACCUGAAACCGUGUGCCUACAAUCCGUGGGAGCUGGACUUCGGUCUGGUGACCGCGUGCCUUUUGAAGAAUGAGCCUGCGAGUUUGCGAUGUGUGGCGAGGUUAACCCGUGUGGGGUAGCCGUAGCGAAAGCGAGUCCGAACAGGGCGUCUGAGUCGCAUGUCCAAGACCCGAAGCCGAGUGAUCUACCCAUGGCCAGGUUGAAGCGCGGGUAAGACCGUGUGGAGGACCGAACCCACCAGGGUUGAAAACCUGGGGGAUGAGCUGUGGGUAGGGGUGAAAGGCCAAUCAAACUCGGUGAUAGCUGGUUCUCCCCGAAAUGCAUUUAGGUGCAGCGUCGCAUGUUUCUUGCCGGAGGUAGAGCACUGGAUGGCCUAGGGGGCCCACAAGCUUACUGAAGUCAGCCAAACUCCGAAUGCCGGUAAGUGAAGUGCGGCAGUGAGACUGCGGGGGAUAAGCUUCGUAGUCGAGAGGGAAACAGCCCAGAUCGCCAGCUAAGGCCCCUAAGCGUGCGCUAAGUGGAAAAGGAUGUGGAGUCGCAUAGACAACCAGGAGGUUGGCUUAGAAGCAGCCACCCUUGAAAGAGUGCGUAAUAGCUCACUGGUCAAGUGAUUCCGCGCCGACAAUGUAGCGGGGCUCAAGCGCACCGCCGAAGCUGCGGCAUACGCAUGUUAGCCAGGCAUCUUUGCGGGUGUCCAGGUGUGUGUAUGGGUAGGGGAGCGUCGUGUGGCGUGUGAAGCGGCGGGGUGACCUAGUCGUGGAUGCCAUACGAGUGAGAAUGCAGGCAUGAGUAGCGAAUGACGGGUGAGAAACCCGUCCGCCGGAUGACCAAGGGUUCCUGGGGCAGGCUAAUCCGCCCAGGGUGAGUCGGGACCUAAGGCGAGGCCGACAGGCGUAGUCGAUGGACAACGGGUUGAUAUUCCCGUACCGGCGCUGACGCGCCCA
rnacentral:rRNA from 1 species